rnacentral:rRNA from 1 species
AACGAACGCUGGCGGCAUGCCUAACACAUGCAAGUCGAACGAGACCUUCGGGUCUAGUGGCGCACGGGUGCGUAACGCGUGGGAAUCUACCCUCAGGUUCGGAAUAACUCACUGAAAUUUGAGCUAAUGCCGGUUGAUGACAUAAGGCCAAAGAGUUAUCGCCGGAGGAUGAGCCCGCGUAGGAUUAGGUAGUUGGUGAGGUAAAGGCUGACCAAGCCGACGAUCCUUAGCUGGUCUGAGACGAUGAUCAUCCACACUGGGACUGAGACACGGCCCAGACUCCUACGGGAGGCAGCAGUGGGGAAUAUUGGACAAUGGGCGAAAGCCUGAUACAGCAAUGCCGCGUGAGUGAUGAAGGCCUUAGGGUUGUAAAGCUCUUUUACCCGGGAUGAUAAUGACAGUACCGGGAGAAUAAGCUCCGGCUAACUCCGUG